UGGGGAGUAAAUUAAAAUUUGUGAUUGUUCUUCCGCAGAGGCAGCCUUGGGGUAGGGGAGCCGGAGGAGGCGGCCCAAGGUCUCACCCUCAGGGUAAUAAGACGAAGCCGGUAGUCAUCAGCCUGAAUGACCUGCUUGACGGUGAUCUCGACCCCGUCAUACACAACCUGCUCUUCUGGCCAGUACUCUGUGCAUUUCUGGAGGUAUACAAGGGUGAGAUAACGUUAUCCAGCUCCCUAAACAAACUGUCAUGGUGGACAGUGUUGGAAACACUGCCUGCCUGUGUAGCUUCCAGUGAGGACUCCAGAAGAGGCAAGGAACCAUGGGAGACUGCCUAUUUGUUCCAGACCCAAAGUCAGAAGUUGGUGAAUCAGUUUUUGGCAUACUUUGUGAUUCCAAUCCAAAAAGAAUGAGCCUGCAUGAGAAAGCCAUCAACCUGUCUGUACGUACCCAACAAUGUGUGAGCGCUGAAUUUUGCUUUAAAGGCUGAAGUUACUCCGAUCUAACACCAGAUUUGUAACUAACAAGGGGCAAGUGGUACUUUGCCUCGAGGUAAUAUCUUGGAAGGCGUGUGCUUUCUUUUCACCACAACCACCAAUCAGUGACUUCUAGAAUCUUGUGGUACAAUCAUCCCUGACCACCCUGCCAAGAUUCUGUUCCUGUGGUGGCCAUUGGAGUGUUCUCUUCCAUCCCUCCAAGGAGAAAAGGAUCCCCCUCUUAGGUAGAACUCUCCUUUGCACCACUGUAUCACCAAAUCUUCCCUUUCCCUCCACCUCCCCAGUCAGAUACUUCAUAGUAUGGCCAUGUAUCCCAUACCUUGGACUCUUCUGUCAUCUUUCUGUUCCAUGUGGAUAGAAUUGUGUCACUCUGCCCUAUCCCUUCA